AAGUCGAACGAAGCCUUCGGGCUUAGUGGCGGACGGGUUAGUAACGCGUGGGAACGUGCCUUUCACUACGGAAUAGUCCCGGGAAACUGGGUUUAAUACCGUAUACGCCCUUCGGGGGAAAGAAUUUCGGUGAAAGAUCGGCCCGCGUUAGAUUAGGUAGUUGGUGGGGUAAUGGCCUACCAAGCCUACGAUCUAUAGCUGGUUUUAGAGGAUGAUCAGCAACACUGGGACUGAGACACGGCCCAGACUCCUACGGGAGGCAGCAGUGGGGAAUCUUGGACAAUGGGCGCAAGCCUGAUCCAGCCAUGCCGCGUGAGUGAUGAAGGCCUUAGGGUCGUAAAGCUCUUUCGCCAGGGAUGAUAAUGACAGUACCUGGUAAAGAAACCCCGGCUAACUCCGUGCCAGCAG
rnacentral:rRNA from 1 species